rnacentral:lncRNA from 1 species
CUUCAACUGUUGGUCUGGAGAACUAGCAUUUUCUAACUGACCAUAACUGAAGUGUCCCUGAUUCGGGACAGGAACUCCUCUCCUUGAAAUGUACCAGUGAUCAAAGCACGGAGGCAGGAUUCGGUCAUUCACUCUGAGGCAGAAAUGGCUGAAAAGAAGACCCACCCCACAGAGGCAGAGCCCUGAGAAUGAGGAAAGGCCCCCUGGAUCUUUCUACUAGACCAGACUCCUGUUAAAUCUGUCCAGCACCCUGAGGGUUUCCUUCACGGCACUCACCACGAACAGUGUGUGGGUGAGCAUGCGAUUUUCUGUCUCCACUGAGCUGCAGGCCACGUGGAGAACCGCUGUGAGCUGCGCUUUAGUGGAAGAAAACCUAAGGGUCCCGCAUCAUUCUAUGUCGGUUGGAAUGAACUGGGCAUGAAGUCCAUGUCAGUUUUUCUGUUUUGCAAAAUCAAUGCAAUUUCUCACUUGCUGAGCCAACCGCAUGAUCCCAGCCAAAUCAGCCAUCAACUGUUAUCUUUUUUAAACUUCAAAUAAUGAAGUACUCUUGUUUUCCUGAAAUGUCUUGAAAAGGUUAUUUCUAGGCUGACACUCUGCUUGCCAGCUUUUAU